UACAGAGGUCCCGAGCGUUGUUCGGAUUCAUUGGGCGUAAAGGGUGCGUAGGCGGCGGGGAAAGUCUGAUGUGAAAUCCUGGGGCUCAACCCUGGAACUGCAUUGGAUACUUCCUUGCUAGAGUACUGGAGAGGAAACUGGAAUUUACGGUGUAGCAGUGAAAUGCGUAGAGAUCGUAGGGAAGACCAGUGGCGAAGGCGAGUUUCUGGACAGUUACUGACGCUGAGGCACGAAGGCCAGGGGAGCAAACGGG
rnacentral:rRNA from 1 species